rnacentral:rRNA from 1 species
AUUGAACGCUGGCGGUAGGCCUAACACAUGCAAGUCGAACGGCAGCACAGUAAGAGCUUGCUCUUACGGGUGGCGAGUGGCGGACGGGUGAGGAAUACAUCGGAAUCUACUUUUUCGUGGGGGAGAACGUAGGGAAACUUACGCUAAUACCGCAUACGACCUACGGGUGAAAGCAGGGGAUCUUCGGACCUCGCGCGAUUGAAUGAGCCGAUGUCGGAUUAGCUAGUUGGCGGGGUAAAGGCCCACCAAGGCGACGAUCCGUAGCUGGUCUGAGAGGAUGAUCAGCCACACUGGAACUGAGACACGGUCCAGACUCCUACGGGAGGCAGCAGUGGGGAAUAUUGGACAAUGGGCGAAAGCCUGAUCCAGCCAUACCGCGUGUGUGAAGAAGGCCUUCGGGUUGUAAAGCCCUUUUGUUGGGAAAGAAAAGCAGCAGGUUAAUACCCCGCUGUUCUGACGGUACCCAAAGAAUAAGCACCGGCUAACUUCGUG